rnacentral:rRNA from 1 species
GACGAACGCUGGCGGCGUGCCUAACACAUGCAAGUGGAGCGACGAACCAGGCUUCGGCCUGGGGCAAAGCCGCGAACGGGUGAGUAACACGUGGGUAACCUGCCCUGAUGAUUGGGACAACCCGAGGAAACUCGGGCUAAUACCGAAUGUGCCCUCCGGCCUCAAGGCCGCUGGGGAAAGGAAGCUUCGGCCUCCGCAUCGGGAUGGGCCCGCGGCCCAUUAGCUUGUUGGUGAGGUAACGGCUCACCAAGGCGACGAUGGGUAGCUGGUCUGAGAGGACGAUCAGCCACACUGGGACUGAGACACGGCCCAGACUCCUACGGGAGGCAGCAGUGGGGAAUCUUGCGCAAUGCGCGAAAGCGUGACGCAGCAACGCCGCGU